GCACUGCUGUCGAGACCAAACCAGGUCGAAACAGCUGUCCAGUGC
rnacentral:hammerhead_ribozyme from 1 species